rfam:Schistosoma mansoni strain Puerto Rico chromosome W, complete genome
AUCCAGCUGACGAGUCCCAAAUAGGACGAAACACUCGUCAAACUGGAU